rnacentral:rRNA from 1 species
CAAUAGCGUAUAUUAAAGUUGUUGCAGUUAAAAAGCUCGUAGUUGGAUUUCUGGUGGGAGCGAUCGGUCUGGCGCUUAGCGCGAGUACUUGAAUCGUCUCCGGCCAUCCUUGGGGAGAGUCUGUCUGGCAUUAGGUUGUCGGGCAGAGGAUCCUCAUCGUUUACUGUGAAAAAAUUAGAGUGUUCAAAGCAGGCUUAUGCCGUUGAAUAUAUUAGCAUGGAAUAAUAAGAUAGGACUUUGGUACUAUUUUGUUGGUUUGCGCACCAAAGUAAUGAUUAAUAGGGACAGUUGGGGGUAUUCGUAUUCCGUUGUCAGAGGUGAAAUUCUUGGAUUUACGGAAGACGAACUACUGCGAAAGCAUUUACCAAGGAUGUUUUCAUUAA